ensembl:lncRNA
GGAAGGAGCACUGGGGGGGACGAGACACACACACACACACACACACACACACACACACACACACACACACACACACACACACACACACACACACACACACACACACACACACACACACACACACACACACACACACACACACAGUGUGUGGUGCUGCUGGUUCUGCCAUAUAGGUUUUUUUUGUCGGGGUAACUAUGUGCCGUAUAUAAAAGAAAAACCUGCUGUCCCAGGGUUUUGCAUGCUCCCUCACCAUGCCCACCCCUUCACAAUCUGUGUCAGGGAUACAUUUUUAUGGCCUGUGUAGGGUGAUUGGAGUAAGAGUGAAAAAUGUUGUGUGGAGGAGGCUGCCGCUGGGGCUGGCUGGUGGUGCCGAGGGGGGGAGUCAGGAAGGGCUGAAAGCUUAGACUGUGUCCUCUGCUUUCCUGGAAUCGGGUCUUCACAGUUCAUGUAUUAAUCAUGGAUGCUCCGUCCGUACAGCACAGGGACACAGAUCAGCAGAGGGAGAGAGAGAGAGCAUGUGGAUGACAACGUGGAAGCAACGUGACUGUAGUUUUGCCUCUCUCCGUCGGAAGGUCCGAAGAGGGGGAUGAGUUAAAUAAAAGCGGCCUGUUUCAAAGCGGCCUAUGUUCCGUUUAGGGGCUUCGGGGCGUGUGGGUGUUUUCCCAGGCCUGUAGGAGAGGACUGAAGUGUAACCAAGUGUUCCCCGCUCUGCAUCUGUCCCCACGGUUUGACCGUGGAAAAAGUGCGGCAAAGCUCUUCUGAGAAAAACCCAGACGAUGUGAUUUUAAAAAUGGGACUAAUCCAGGGAGGUAUUAGUCGCCCUACUAGUGAUUUGGUAUAAAUACUGCAUGCCUGUCAUAUUCCCGAGAUGGACUUCUCAAGGUCGUUUAAAAAAAAUUCUGAAUGUAAAACUAACCAAGAUAUUUUGGGGUGCAGAGUGAUUGGAUGGCUGUAUUGUAAAGUUACGUUCAGUGAAUUAUUUGCAGUGGCGAGGCCUUCAAGGUGUGUUUCGUUCAACAAUCCUGGCAUCACGCUCGCGACAGCUGACAGAAGAGAACAGAGGAUGGAGAUGUCCGCCAUGUAGUACCAAAGUGAGAUCUGCCUCUGUGUUUCUCACUGCUGCAUGGUGUAGAUUGACCUGCAUCAACUGACUGAAGCGACCCAGUGGGUUUGAAUGGCUGACUCUGGGCUGGGUACAGCAGCCCCUGAACCAGAACCACAGUCUGGUUUUGGGUCAGACAGUGAGAGAGGCAGACACCACAGGAAGGCUGUUACAAGGAAGGGUGGGAAAGGGGUCUCAGGGAAACUAUUCCAUUUAAAAAAAAAUAGAAACUCCUGUAUAGACCUACUUUUGAGAAUGUGGUAUUUAAUCAAAUGCUAAUAUUGGGUUAAUUUAAAUGAAUGAGAUUAGAUAAUGCUAAGUCUAAGCAUUAAGGAGCUACCUCUCUGGUGUGACCUUAAAUCUUUCUAUUUGUCAAUCAUCUGCGAUGAGCAGCAGCAGCCUGCAUCUGACUCAUGUCUCAUGUCUGGCCAUUAGAAACCUGCAUGGCAGCGUCUUGUGAAGUUGUCCUUUCUUUAACUUUUUUAUCCACAACUGGUGAGCAGAUCCACAACUGGUGAAAGGGAAACUAUUUAAGAAUAACUUCUGGUGAAAGGUGGACCACUUUUACAUCUUGUACAAUACACUGGCAUGAUAGAGUUAACCUUUAAAUGAGGUCAACACUAUCUCUUUUGGUUUAGAAGUUAUUUGGUAGGCCAAGCGCUGUUAUACUAUUACAUCAUAUAUUGUUUCUGGAAAGCAAAGGGGGAAAAACGAGUUGUGCCACAUAUCUGAAACGGCUGAAUGUUUUCAUGGUCUUCUUUUCCAGCCACUCUUUGGACCCCUCCCAUUGAACACACCGAGAGACUGUCGGUUCGCUUAACCUGGCUUGCCGUCGUUGACCCAGAGCAACCAGGAGAUUGCUUUAGCUCACUCAGCCCAUUGUAUGUCAUUAUCCUUCUAUCUGUGCUGGGGCGAGCUGGAUGACAGAGCGGAGGAAGGCUGUCUAAACGGGGGUCUGCUUAGUGGGUCGCUCCCUCUCUCUCUCUCUCAUCAGGUUGGCCUUUGAUCUAUUCCUGGUAAAUCCGUGGCAUUAGACGUGUGGAUUUGGUGCAGUGUCUGGUUUAAAUUAGCACCAGUGAGCCACCGACCGCACACCAGCCUUUGUGAUCUUUCGUCUUCAGGAUACGUGAUGGCUGGGCUCUGGCUAAGUCUGGCCAAAGAAACGUUUUCAUAGCAAGCCACCUGGCGGGGAGAUGAAUCGAUGGUUAUCAGGCUUUUCGGGCUGCGUGGCCUCAAGCUAAUGUCUGUCUGUCUGUACGUUUUCUGUAACAACAAGGGUGGCUCUGAUAGGGUGACGAUGCUCCAGCUGGGAUGACCUGAUUUGUGAUGGAGAAUGCCGUGAAAGAGAAGACCAUAAACGGCAUCUGUGACUACCAACAGUGCGAGUGACAAAUACAUGUAAAUAAUCAUGGACACAUAAAUGGACACCUCCCUUUAUCACAUCCCUUUAGCAAAAAACAAGAAAGUGUUCUACCGCAUAUCUGAUUUUAAUUAGUUUAGCUCUGCUAUUCUGAUGGGAUGUACUGUCUAUGGAAAGGAUUAAGCAAUGUGAAAAAAAAAAAAAAGGAACUUUAAGUCAGCUGAAAUAAUCAUGGGAACAUGUGAGCAAAAUGUGAUUGCCCAGCGAACUGUCUUGGGUUAAGGUAGAGGGUCUAGCAUUGGCAACUUGUGAUUGCCUUUGCCAAUCACAAGUUUAUUCGUGAUUUCAGAGACUAUCUCUAGAUUCACUUGAUAAUAAAAAAAUUGCUACAAGUCUGUCUAAUCAGCCUAGCUAUCGGGGUUCUGAUGUCACCGAAUACCUCUUAGUUGAAUCUUAGAGUUUUUCAUUAUUCCCAUACAAUAUAGUGUGUGUGUGUGUGUGUGUGUGUGUGUGUGUGUGUGUGUGUGUGUGUGUGUGUGUGUGUGUGUGUGUGUGUGUGUGUGUGUGUGUGUGUGUGUGUGUGUGUGUUAGCGGGCAACACACGCUUGCAUUGUUUGGUGCUCUCAUAUCAUAUCUGCUUCCACAUCACAGCUGCGAAAAUGAUGCACGAAAAAAGUCUUAGUUCAUUAAAGCAUAAUGACUAAAACAACCUGAUAGUUAGCAUGAUACCUUCUCCUCAGCUGUGCUAGGCUCCAGGCUCUGAUUCAUAAAUAUUUGAACAGGCAAAACACAAUAACUGCUACCUCUUAAAGCACAAUUUGUUUUCUGUUUCCCUGUUUUUGAUAAGCCUACAGAUCUGGUUACACAAAAUCAUUCGAUCAUUAUGCUCUAUCCUGUGACCUCUCCACCUGCUCUUCUCGACUUCCUCAAUGGAAAGACGUGUGUGUGUGUGUGUGUGUGUGUGUGUGUGUGUGUGUGUGUGUGUGUGUGUGUGUGGGAAAAGGUGCUAAUUCAUAAUGCAGGUUGUUUUGAAUGACAGCCCCGUGUUCCCAAGGAAGUAAUUUGUUAAUUUAUGAAUAUUUCAUCACUGGAGUAUAUCAACACAGCCCCCCUGGUGUACCGAUAUAACAGCUCUUCUCAACUGGAUGUACUGGUGAUGGGAAUACUGGUCACCGUUACCAGCUGACUCCCAGUUGCAUGGCAACCAUUUGGAAUUUACCUGCGAACUGUCGUUUGCAUUUCAGACAGAUAUUACUUGCGGCAUGAUGGCGAUCGUGUGUGUGUGUGUGUGUGUCCCUGCCUAAAGCGCGUCAUUUCAAAGCGUGCCUGUGCUUUUGUCUUCACUGAAGCCUCGGUCCACUCCGGGCCACGUCUGAGGGCGCAUAAUGAGGACGACGGGGAGCUUGCUGCGGAAGGGAUUUCCUCCGUGUCUUAGAAGGGAUUUAAUGCCAGGGCUCAGGGAGAAGAGACCUGAGAAAUGUCCCUGGGAAUCUGGGUAAUGCAUAAUAGAGAUAGCGACGGGGGCCAGGCCAAGCAACAAAAUGGCAGGCUUAGAGGGUGUGGAGUCCAAAAUCUUUUUUAGAAUGGAAGGGCUGACAUUGGUUGAAGUUACGAUUGUUGUUGUUUUUUGUGUGCAAAUGUUCAGGGUUAUCUAGGUACCAUAAAUAUCUACACGAAUUCAAAAUCCAAGUCAUGGUAAUCCAAUACACCUUGUGAGCGGCGAGUAUGCAGAUUCAUGUGCAUUUGUUCACGCAGUGCCUCUGCCACAGGCCAGAGGAAGUGUGUCGAUGUCAGAGAUGGCAGUGGAGGUUGUGUUGGUCGUGGCGGCGGCGGUGGCGGAGCUCCUCGUGAGUGCUUAGCCGUGACUUAGCCGGCUUAGGGAAGUCACACUUCCCUGGAUGACUUCCAUGCGCUCAACCCGGCGCAGGCCAAUCAGCAUGCUCUCGCUGCACACACCCAGGGGAGGGAGGGAGAGAGAGAGAGAGAGAGAGAGGGAGAGAUUGUGGCAGGGAGAAGGAAAGAAAAUGUCCACUUGAGCCAAUAAGGUGAUGGACCGAAAGCGCGGUUUGUCACAGUGUCCGAUGAUAUCACCUCUGUAUGCCUGAGGAAUUUAUUAUAUCUUUGACAGCACACACACACACACACACACACACACACACACACACACACACACACACACACACACACACACACACACACACACACACACACACACACACACACACACACACACACACACACACACAGACAGAGAGAGCGCGCCUGGAGUGUAAAGCACCUUUUAACUCAUUCAUUAUCCCCAAUCCUCGGCCACAUGUGAUUUUCCCACCAUGUUUUAUCGCAGCAAAUGUCCCGCUGAAACCCUCAAAGCAGAUUGUUUCUUUUUCUGCCGAGGACAAAAUGCCAUCACCCUUCUUACCUUGUGCUAGCAGAAGAUAUGCACAACAAAGGGUCGGCAUUGCAAUUGAUGCUGUCCUACGUGUGUCCCAAGGACAAAGCCUCUACUCUCCCUGCAUCUAUCCUCCUUCACCUUGGACGCUUAGCGCCCCAACCUUGUGUGUGAUACAAAUAUAAACAUAAAUACAUGGCUGUUUUCUUCCCUUGGAUUUUACUCAGAACUAUUCGUUUUUGUAUUGUGUGAAUACACAAUAUUGAAACUGAACCAAUCUGGAAGGGUUUGGCUGAUGUGUUUGUCAGGGUUCAAGAUAUGUUGCCUUGCCUGACAUUUUACUGCUAUUUUGGAGUUACCUCACUGCCUGCACAAAGUACUAGUAGUCACAGCGGUCAAGUCUUCUAAACCCCCACCCUGCGCCCCAUGUGGGAGUUUUAACACCCUAACCAGACAAAGCCACGUUGGCAGCCUCGGGAAGGGGGGCAGUGUGGUGGGGGGAGGCCUGUGUUUUGGUUGCGUGUGUGUGUGUGUGUGUGUGUACGUGGUUUUGACGGGAUUUGAUUCUAGGUCAAACGUCUGUCUCAAACACAGAUCCACACUCGUGCACAUGCGCACACACACAUGCACACUUAAAGACCUUCUGAAUUAGACCCUCGUGAACUCUAUUAGGAUUUAUUACCAUGGUUUUGUCCCCUGUGACCAUGUCUGGCCCACGUUACUUCGAAGCCUUGUUUGGGGAGAAUAGAC